GAUGAAGAACGUAGCGAAAUGCGAUAAGUAAUGUGAAUUGCAGAAUUCAGUGAAUCAUCGAAUCUUUGAACGCACAUUGCGCCCCCUGGUAUUCCGGGGGGCAUGCCUGUCCGAGCGUCAUUACAACCCUCAAGCUCAGCUUGGUAUUGGGCCCCGCCGCUCCGGCGGGCCCUAAAGUCAGUGGCGGUGCCGUCCGGCUCCGAGCGUAGUAAUUCUUCUCGCUCUGCAGGUCCGGUCGUGUGCUCGCCAGCAACCCCCAAUUUUUUUCAGGUUGACCUCGGAUCAGGUAGGGAUACCCGCUGAACUUAAGCAUAUCAAUAAGCGGAGGA
rnacentral:misc_RNA from 1 species